AUUCUGUAUCAGAUGUAACAUAUACGACUGAACGUAUAUUGUAUUUGCCCUUCUUCAGUCUUAUUUUGCGCUGACAGGACUCAGUUUGCGGAAACAGACUUUGCGUCAGAGCGGCCACAUCUGCCGCAAAGUGACGCUAAAAACAAAACCUCUUGUAUCUGCAGUUUUACUUCUGUUUGUCGCGUCGACCGUGUGCAUUACACCUAUGGACCUUCCACCCUAUUUGCUUUCACUUUUGCCUGUAAUGUAACAUAUGCAAACACUCCUCCCGGGUCGGCAGGACAUUUGGAGACGGUAAACGGUCAGAUGGGCAGCUAACGGUAGCUAACAGGUAGCUCACAGGAAGGCGCAGAAUUAGCUUAAAGUGCUGCUAAUUUGUUACAAUGCUGCAGCUGGGAGAUGAAGUCACCCUCUACUCCCUGGUCUUCGUGCUGGUUCUGCUCGGGACCCGGAGCACGGUGUGGACCACAGUCCUCACCGCCUCCCUCUACCUCUUUGUGGCCGUGUUCCGGUUCCCUCAGGUACCGGCCAGCCGAGCCCGGCAGGUGCUGCAUCCAGCCAAGGGCGUCGCUGGUUCCGGUAAAGUGUCGGUGAUCGGCCAUCGGGGCGGUGGGCACGACGCACCGGAGAACACCAUAGCAGCUAUCCGAGAGGCGAGUAAGAACGGGGCGACGGGUGUGGAGUUGGACCUGGAGUUCUCAGCAGACGGAGUGCCGAUAUUGAUGCAUGAUGACACUGUGGACCGGACCACCAAUGGCUCAGGACCACUCACACAGAUCAGCUUCUCUGACUUGAACAAACUGGAUGCAGCUGCUAAACAUCGCCUUAGGGACAAGUUUUCUGGGGAGAAGAUCCCAACUUUGGAGGAAGCUGUUGAAGAGUGCAUGAAACUUCAGCUCACCAUCUACUUUGAUGUCAAAGGUCAUCCAGAUGAGGCAGCCACAGCCCUGAAGGUGUUGUACAAGAAGCAUCCAGUCCUCUACAACAGCAGCAUCGUCUGCUCCUUUGAGCCCAAAGUUAUCUACCGAAUGAGGCAGAGUGAUCCAGAAGUGGUCACUGCACUGACACAUAGGCCAUGGAGUAUGAGUCGAUUUGGAGAUGGUGUCCCACGGUUCUCAUCGCCAUGGAAACACUAUUGGAUGACAUUGCUGGAUGUCUUGUUGGACUGGGCGCACCAUCAUGUACUGUGGAAGCUCUGUGGCAUCUCAGCCUUUCUGGUCCAGAAGAACUUUGUUUCCCCGGACUAUGUGCAGUACUGGGCCCAGAGAGGGGUGGAGGUGGUGGCCUGGACCGUCAACACAAACGUGGAGAAAGAGUAUUACCAAGAACUGCUGCAAGUGAACUACAUCACAGACAGUCUGCUGGAGGACUGUGAACCCCACUACUGACAUCCACCGCACAGUGUGUUAACACUCAAACCCCUAAAAAGACAUAAUGAAAGUGGGUGUCUGGAAUACACAGACCUUAAUGUACUGUAUUCACUGACUCAGGACUGCGCUUUAUUAUUACAUGUAGGGUGCGAUUUGUUUUGGGGGGGGGGUCUGGGUUUUACAUCCCUACUUCUGCUGAAUGAAUGUCAUCCUGGGGGAGGACACACAACCAACUGAAAUAACAGGCAGGUUGUGACUGAGUUUUCUUACACGUAUAGCCUACAUUACUGGCGCUAAUUUUCACCUGAAUCGAACUGUCAGCAGUGUCUGAAUUCGUGAACGUCCCCAUGCACAUAAAUACAUUGUGUACCUUAUCUAUCACUCUCUGUGUAUAUCAGCAAGCAUGCCUGCAGACCUGAAUUCAGAGAUAUGCACAGAUCCAGAGGGUGGUGGGUGUGUGUGUGUGGGGGGGUGGGGGUGGGGGGGCACUGUACAAGUACACGCAGACCGUACGGCUGCUUAUAAGACAAGGGGAUCAAUAAAUCGUAAGACAGGGGGGCAGGGGGAGAUGAAUAAAACGGGGAAUAAUACGUAAGAGAGGGUGGAGGGAGUUCUCCCUAAGUACUGCUAUGUACCUCUCUCUCUCUCUGUCUUUUAACACAUGUCAUUCUCUUUGCUUUUUAAGAUCACAACACUGAAACAUACAAGUUAACAUUUUAUAUCUUUCACAAAUGUGUAUAUUAAAUUAAAUUAAAAUCCAAAAAAAGG